rnacentral:rRNA from 1 species
AGAGUUUGAUCCUGGCUCAGAUUGAACGCUGGCGGCAGGCCUAACACAUGCAAGUCGAACGGUAACAUUUCUAGCUUGCUAGAAGAUGACGAGUGGCGGACGGGUGAGUAAUGCUUGGGAACUUGCCUUUGCGAGGGGGAUAACAGUUGGAAACGACUGCUAAUACCGCAUAAUGUCUUCGGACCAAACGGGGCUUCGGCUCCGGCGCAAAGAGAGGCCCAAGUGAGAUUAGCUAGUUGGUAAGGUAACGGCUUACCAAGGCGACGAUCUCUAGCUGUUCUGAGAGGAAGAUCAGCCACACUGGGACUGAGACACGGCCCAGACUCCUACGGGAGGCAGCAGUGGGGAAUAUUGCACAAUGGGGGAAACCCUGAUGCAGCCAUGCCGCGUGUGUGAAGAAGGCCUUCGGGUUGUAAAGCACUUUCAGUUGUGAGGAAAAGUUAGUAGUUAAUACCUGCUAGCCGUGACGUUAACAACAGAAGAAGCACCGGCUAACUCCGUGCCAGCAGCCGCGGUAAUACGGAGGGUGCGAGCGUUAAUCGGAAUUACUGGGCGUAAAGCGCACGCAGGCGGUUUGUUAAGCUAGAUGUGAAAGCCCCGGGCUCAACCCGGGAUGGUCAUUUAGAACUGGCAGACUAGAGUCUUGGAGAGGGGAGUGGAAUUCCAGGUGUAGCGGUGAAAUGCGUAGAUAUCUGGAGGAACAUCAGUGGCGAAAGCGACUCCCUGGCCAAAGACUGACGCUCAUGUGCGAAAGUGUGGGUAGCGAACAGGAUUAGAUACCCUGGUAGUCCACACCGUAAGCGCUGUCUACUAGCUGUGUGUGCCUUUAAAGCG